rnacentral:rRNA from 1 species
UGGGGAAUAUUGCACAAUGGAGGGAACUCUGAUGCAGCGACGCCGCGUGAACGAAGAAGGCUUUCGAGUCGUAAAGUUCUUUUAUAUGGGAAGAUAAUGACGGUACCAUAAGAAAAAGCCCCGGCUAACUACGUGCCAGCAGCCGCGGUAAUACGUAGGGGGCUAGCGUUGUCCGGAAUCACUGGGCGUAAAGGGUUCGCAGGCGGAAAUGCAAGUCAGGUGUAAAAGGAAGUAGCUUAACUACUGUAAGCAUUUGAAACUGCAUAUCUUGAGAAGAGUAGAGGUAAGUGGAAUUUUUAGUGUAGCGGUGAAAUGCGUAGAUAUUAAAAAGAAUACCGGUGGCGAAGGCGGCUUACUGGGCUCAUUCUGACGCUGAGGAACGAAAGCGUGGGUAGCAAACAGG